rnacentral:rRNA from 1 species
AUUGAACGCUGGCGGCAGGCUUAACACAUGCAAGUCGAGCGGAGAGAGGUAGCUUGCUACUGAUCUUAGCGGCGGACGGGUGAGUAAUGCUUAGGAAUCUGCCUAUUAGUGGGGGACAACAUUUCGAAAGGAAUGCUAAUACCGCAUACGUCCUACGGGAGAAAGCAGGGGAUCUUCGGACCUUGCGCUAAUAGAUGAGCCUAAGUCGGAUUAGUUAGUUGGUGGGGUAAAGGCCUACCAAGGCGACGAUCUGUAGCGGGUCUGAGAGGAUGAUCCGCCGCACUGGGACUAAGACACGGCCCAGACUCCUACGGGAGGCAGCAGUGGGGAAUAUUGGACAAUGGGCGCAAGCCUGAUCCAGCCAUGCCGCGUGUGUGAAGAAGGCCUUAUGGUUGUAAAGCACUUUAAGCGAGGAGGAGGCUACUUUAGAUAAUACCUAGAGAUAGUGGACGUUACUCGCAGAAUAAGCACCGGCUAACUCUGUGCCAGCAGCCGCAGUAAGAC